rnacentral:rRNA from 1 species
GUCGACGGUGAACACGGAGCUUGCUCUGUGGGAUCAGUGGCGAACGGGUGAGUAACACGUGAGCAACCUGCCCCUGACUCUGGGAUAAGCGCUGGAAACGGCGUCUAAUACUGGAUACGAGUAGCGACCGCAUGGUCAGUUACUGGAAAGAUUUAUUGGUUGGGGAUGGGCUCGCGGCCUAUCAGCUUGUUGGUGAGGUAAUGGCUCACCAAGGCGUCGACGGGUAGCCGGCCUGAGAGGGUGACCGGCCACACUGGGACUGAGACACGGCCCAGACUCCUACGGGAGGCAGCAGUGGGGAAUAUUGCACAAUGGGCGCAAGCCUGAUGCAGCAACGCCGCGUGAGGGAUGACGGCCUUCGGGUUGUAAACCUCUUUUAGCAGGGAAGAAGCGAAAGUGACGGUACCUGCAGAAAAAGCGCCGGCUAACUACGUGCCAGCAGCCGCGGUAAUACGUAGGGCGCAAGCGUUAUCCGGAAUUAUUGGGCGUAAAGAGCUCGUAGGCGGUUUGUCGCGUCUGCUGUGAAAUCCGGAGGCUCAACCUCCGGCCUGCAGUGGGUACGGGCAGACUAGAGUGCGGUAGGGGAGAUUGGAAUUCCUGGUGUAGCGGUGGAAUGCGCAGAUAUCAGGAGGAACACCGAUGGCGAAGGCAGAUCUCUGGGCCGUAACUGACGCUGAGGAGCGAAAGGGUGGGGAGCAAACAGGCUUAGAUACCCUGGUAGUCCACCCCGUAAACGUUGGGAACUAGUUGUGGGGUCCAUUCCACGGAUUCCGUGACGCAGCUAACGCAUUAAGUUCCCCGCCUGGGGAGUACGGCCGCAAGGCUAAAACUCAAAGGAAUUGACGGGGACCCGCACAAGCGGCGGAGCAUGCGGAUUAAUUCGAUGCAACGCGAAGAACCUUACCAAGGCUUGACAUAUACGAGAACGGGCCAGAAAUGGUCAACUCUUUGGACACUCGUAAACAGGUGGUGCAUGGUUGUC